rnacentral:rRNA from 1 species
AAUUUUGGACAAUGGGCGUAAGCCUGAUCCAGCCAUGCCGCGUGAGUGAAGAAGGCCUCCGGGUUGUAAAGCUCUUUCGGCCGGAAAGAAAUCGCGCAGGCUAAUACCCUGCGCGGAUGACGGUACCGUCAUAAGAAGCACCGGCUAACCACGUGCCAGCAGCCGCCGUAAUAAGUAGGGUGCGAGCGUUAAUCGGAAUUACUGGGCGUAAAGCGGUGGGAGGGGGGUGGUUAAGAAAGGCGGGAAAGCCCCGGGGUUAACCAGGGAACUGGGCGUGUGACUGGGCAGCUAAAGUAAGGCAGGGGGGGGGGGAAUUCCACGUGUAGCAGUAAAAUGCGUAGAGAUGUGGAGGAACACCGAUGGCGAAGGCAGCCCCCUGGGCCGAUACUGACGCUCAUGCACGAAAGCGUGGGUAGCAAACAGG